UGCCUCAGUAACGGCGAGUGAAGCGGCAAGAGCUCAAAUUUGAAAGCUGGCUCCUUCGGGGUCCGCAUUGUAAUUUGCAGAGGAUGCUUCGGGAGCGGCCCCCAUCUAAGUGCCCUGGAAGGGGCCGUCAUAGAGGGUGAGAAUCCCGUACGGGAUGGGGUGCCCGCGACCAUGUGAAGCUCCUUCGACGAGUCGAGUUGUUUGGGAAUGCAGCUCUAAAUGGGUGGUAAAUUUCAUCUAAAGCUAAAUAUUGGCCGGAGACCGAUAGCGCACAAGUAGAGUGAUCGAAAGAUGAAAAGCACUUUGAAAAGAGAGUUAAAAAGCACGUGAAAUUGUUGAAAGGGAAGCGCUUGCGACCAGACUCGCCCGCGGGGUUCAGCCGGUAUUCGUACCGGUGUACUUCCCCGUGGGCGGGCCAGCGUCGGUUUGGGCGGCCGGUCAAAGGCCCUCGGAAUGUAACGCCUCUCGGGGCGUCUUAUAGCCGAGGGUGCCAUGCGGCCAGCCCGGACCGAGGAACGCGCUUCGGCACGGACGCUGGCAUAAUGGUCGUAAGCGACCCGUCUUGAAACACGGACCAAGGAGUCUAACAUCUACGCGAGUGUUCGGGUGUCAAACCCGUGCGCGCAGUGAAAGCGAACGGAGGUGGGAACCCUUUGGGUGCACCAUCGACCGAUCCUGAUGUCUUCGGAUGGAUUUGAGUAAGAGCGUAGCUGUUGGGACCCGAAAGAUGGUGAACUAUGCCUGAAUAGGGCGAAGCCAGAGGACACUCUGGUGGAGGCUCGCAGCGGUUCUGACGUGCAAAUCGAUCGUCAAAUUUGGGUAUAGGGGCGAAAGACUAAUCGAACCAUCUAGUAGCUGGUUCCUGCCGAA
rnacentral:rRNA from 1 species